UGUUUAUGAAAACUUUUUAAGCGAGAAAUAGGCUGUGCAGUUGCAGAAUCUGUCUUCAUUUCAGAUCAACAAAGGCCAGUUUAAAGG